UCAUCACAUCCUGGGGCUGAAGCAGGUCCCAAGGGUAUGGCUGUUCGCCAUUUAAAGUGGUACGCGAGCUGGGUUUAGAACGUCGUGAGACAGUUCGGUCCCUAUCUGCCGUGGGCGUUGGAAAAUUGAGAGGAGCUGCUCCUAGUACGAGAGGACCGGAGUGGACGAACCACUGGUGUUCGGGUGGUCAUGCCAAUGGCAUUGCCCGGUAGCUACGUUCGGACAGGAUAACCGCUGAAAGCAUCUAAGCGGGAAGCCCCUCCCAAGAUGAGAUCUCACUGGAACUUUAAGUUCCCUGAAGGGCCGUCGAAGACUACGACGUUGAUAGGCAAGGUGUGGAAGCACAGUAAUGUGUGAAGCUAACUUGUACUAAUUGCCCGUGAGGCUUGACCAUAUAACACCAAAUAGGUUU
rnacentral:rRNA from 1 species